UACGGAGGGCGCGAGCGUUGUUCGGAAUCAUUGGGCGUAAAGCGGGUGUAGGCGGCUUGGUAAGUCGGUUGUGAAAUCCCUGGGCUCAACUCAGGAACUGCAGCUGAAACUGCCUCGCUAGAGUCCCGGAGAGGGUGGCGGAAUUCCCGGUGUAGAGGUGAAAUUCGUAGAUAUCGGGAGGAACACCAGUGGCGAAGGCGGCCACCUGGACGGUGACUGACGCUCAGACCCGAAAGCGUGGGUAGCAAACAGG
rnacentral:rRNA from 1 species